rnacentral:rRNA from 1 species
CCUACGGGGGGCUGCAGUGGGGAAUAUUGGACAAUGGGGGGAACCCUGAUCCAGCCAUGCCGCGUGUGUGAAGAAGGCCCUCGGGUUGUAAAGCACUUUCAGUGAGGAAGAACGCCUGGUGGUUAAUACCCAUCAGGAAAGACAUCACUCACAGAAGAAGCACCGGCUAACUCCGUGCCAGCAGCCGCGGUAAUACGGAGGGUGCGAGCGUUAAUCGGAAUUACUGGGCGUAAAGCGCGCGUAGGUGGCUUGAUAAGCCGGUUGUGAAAGCCCCGGGCUCAACCUGGGAACGGCAUCCGGAACUGUCAAGCUAGAGUACAGGAGAGGAAGGUAGAAUUCCCGGUGUAGCGGUGAAAUGCGUAGAGAUCGGGAGGAAUACCAGUGGCGAAGGCGGCCUUCUGGACUGACACUGACACUGAGGUGCGAAAGCGUGGGUAGCAAACAGGAUUAGAUACCCUUGUAGUC